UAGGGAAUCUUCCGCAAUGGGCGAAAGCCUGACGGAGCAACGCCGCGUGAGUGAUGAAGGUCUUCGGAUCGUAAAACUCCGUUUUUAGGGAAGAACAAAUGUGUAAGUAACUAUGCACGUCUUGACGGUACCUAAUCAGAAAGCCACGGCUAACUACGUGCCAGCAGCCGCGGUAAUACGUAGGUGGCAAGCGUUAUCCGGCAUUAUUGGGCGUAAAGCGCGCGUAGGCGGUUUAUUAAGUCUGAUGUGAACGCCCACGUCUCAACCGUGAAGGGUCAUUGGAACCUGGAACACUUGAGUGCAGCAGAGCAGAGUGGAAUUCCAUGUGUAGCGGUGCAAUCCGACGAGAUAUGGAGGAACACCAGUGGCGAGGUCGACUUUCUGGUCUGUAACUGACGCUGAUGUGCGAAAGCAUGGGGAUCAAACAGG
rnacentral:rRNA from 1 species